UGGGGGAUAUUGCACAAUGGGGGAAACCCUGAUGCAGCGACGCCGCGUGAGGGAAGACGGUCUUCGGAUUGUAAACCUCUGUCUUAGGGGAAGAAACAAAUGACGGUACCCUAAGAGGAAGCCACGGCUAACUACGUGCCAGCAGCCGCGGUAAUACGUAGGUGGCGAGCGUUGUCCGGAAUUACUGGGUGUAAAGGGAGUGUAGGCGGGAGUGCAAGUUAAAUGUUAAAUCUAUCGGCUCAACCGGUAGCUGCGUUUAAAACUGCACAUCUUGAGUGGAGUAGAGGCAGAUGGAAUUCCUAGUGUAGCGGUGAAAUGCGUAGAUAUUAGGAGGAACACCAGUGGCGAAGGCGAUCUGCUGGGCUUUAACUGACGCUGAGGCUCGAAAGCAUGGGGAGCAAACA
rnacentral:rRNA from 1 species